CCGGGGCCCCUCUCCCCCCGGUCUCCAAGGGCGAACCCGCUCCACCUGCCGGGGGACCGAGCUUAAAACUAGAUAUUCCUUAAGAAAAUCCCACUUGGAAUCAGUUCCAGAAGAAAAGCCUAACAAGUGGAUAGAGCAUGGAUCUGCAUCUUGUCAAGUUGUCUGUAACAGCGAAAACUUCCCAGAUAAGAUCAGGAAGCUACACAGCUUCAGGCACACGCUCAAGUUUUAAAUCCUUCAGUGUAUCCAGCCACGACAAGCUACCAUUCAUCAAUGGAAGGUCAUCUCUUCAGCAGGAACCAGGUGGGUGUACUAAAUGGAUACAUCCUGUUUAAAAUAAAUGUGCCAAAUGCCGCAAAGCCACCAUCUAAUCAGGAGAUUAGAAAGAUCUCAUCUGAGAAAUACUGGGUUCAAGACCGUGAUGCAACCCGCAUCACUACCCACCUCACUCUGUGUUUUAGAGUGAGUUCCUUACCAUGAACUUGGAAAUAAACUGACAUUUAGCUGUCCUCAAGGUUGUGGCACAUGCUGAGAUACACAACUUGCAUAAUAAAAUCUGCCAGUGUACAAGUUGAAACAAGGAUUCUGCACCACCCCAGCCAGAUUGAUACAGAAGUUUGCUCCAUUAUGGAACAGAAAAUCAUAACUAUCGAAUAUUUUAUCUGAAAGCAGGUAGGGAUAUAAAUCACAAUUAAAAUAAAAAUCACUUCUGAAUCAA